rnacentral:rRNA from 1 species
ACCUGCGGAGGGAUCAUUAUAGAGUGUUAAAACUCCAAACCAUUGCGAACCUACCACUGUUGCCUCGGCGGGUUGGCUGCUGGGAGAAAUAAGUUACCCUGUAGGAAGUUACCCUGUAGCGACUUACCCUGUAGCGAGUCACCCUGUAGCCUGCCCGCCGGCGGCCCAACCAAACUCUGUUUUUUUGUGGCAACUCUGAGGAUUAUAUAAAUAUAUUAAAACUUUCAACAACGGAUCUCUUGGUUCUGGCAUCGAUGAAGAACGCAGCGAAAUGCGAUAAGUAAUGUGAAUUGCAGAAUUCAGUGAAUCAUCGAAUCUUUGAACGCACAUUGCGCCCAUUAGUAUUCUAGUGGGCAUGCCUGUUCGAGCGUCAUUUCAAACCAUUAAGCCCUAUUUGCUUAGCGUUGGGAGACUUGUAGGCGCUGCCUGCAAGCUCCUCAAAUGGAUCGGCGGAGUCGUGGCGACCCUCAGCGUAGUAAUUUCUCUCGCUUUAGGUGUCGGCGCUGGCGUCUGGCCGUUAAACCCCCCAUUUUUUAGUCUUGACCUCGGAUCAGGUAGGAAUACCCGCUGAACUUAAGCAUAUCAUAG